GACGAACGCUGGCGGCGUGCUUAACACAUGCAAGUCGAACGGAAAGGCCCUGCUUUUGUGGGGUGCUCGAGUGGCGAACGGGUGAGUAACACGUGAGUAACCUGCCCUUGACUUUGGGAUAACUUCAGGAAACUGGGGCUAAUACCGGAUAGGAGCUCCUGCUGCAUGGUGGGGGUUGGAAAGUUUCGGCGGUUGGGGAUGGACUCGCGGCUUAUCAGCUUGUUGGUGGGGUAGUGGCUUACCAAGGCUUUGACGGGUAGCCGGCCUGAGAGGGUGACCGGCCACAUUGGGCCUGGGAUACGGCCCAGACUCCUACGGGAGGCAGCAGUGGGGAAUAUUGCACAAUGGGCGGAAGCCUGAUGCAGCAACGCCGCGUGCGUGAUGACGGCCUUCUGGUUGUGAACCGCUUUCGCCUGUGACGAAGCGUGAGUGACGGUAAUGUGUAAAGAAGCACCGGCUAACUACGUG
rnacentral:rRNA from 1 species